ACCAAAGCAAAAGGAGUUGACGCCAAUGGUAAUAAAUGCAAUUACCAAGAAUUAUUCCUACAUGUUGGCACAAAACCAAGGCAGUCCAGAAAAAAUUGAAAAAGGAGUCAGAGGGAUGAUUGACCAUAUGUAUGGGAAACAUCAAACCUGUGAUAUGAAAUGGUGUGGUUAUCUAAAAGACAGAACAUCAUACAGGCACACAAACUUACCCUUCGGAAAGGACUUGACAUCUGAAAGCCUCAAAGCUGAUCUAGAGAAAUUGUUUCUGGGAAAAAUUGAAAGCCAAUCAAAGAAACUGUCAAAACUUGCUAGCUCCCAAGCAAAUGAAAGCUUUAACCAUAUGGUCUCAACCAAAGCAGCAAAAAAAAGCAUUAUUCUGGUUCCUCAAGUUUAAAUUAUCGUGUCAGUGCAGCAGUCUUACACAAAAAUGAGGGAUAUGGUUAUGUGUCAAAGGUUAGUGAAGCAGAUGGAUUGUCACCUGGGAAUGAGACUAUCAAGAGGGCUAUACGAUUGAAUAGAAAGAGGAAUAAAAAAUCUGAAAGAGCAAAAACAAAGCAGCACAAAAAAAGAAGAUUCAAUCUAAAAAAAGAAAGAUCAGGAAAAAGUACCGUUGUUGAAAUAAGAGAAGGAAGAACUUAUGAAAGUGAAAUAGGAAUGAACAAUGAGAAGUUAGAUGAAGAAAUCCCUGCUCCAAUGAAUGCAUCUUUAUGUAUACCGAUAGAUAUUUCUACAGCUCCACUGGUAGUCUUUGAUUUAGAAACUACAAGCCUAUAUAGAACCUCAGAUGUAAUACAGAUUGCUGCAACUUCAAACAAUAAUGAAUUUAGCAGUUACAUCUUUCCAAACCAACCUAUCUCAAUACAGGCCUCCGAAAUUACAAAAAUUACCGUUUCUGCAAAUCAGAUGUUUUAUAAUUUACAACCUGUUUCGUACAAAUUACCACAUGAAGCUCUCACUGAUUUUAUAACAUUUCUUUCCAAAUAUCCAUCCAAGCCAGUUCUUGUAGGACACAACAUCAAACGCUUUGAUUGCCAUGUUUUGUACCAUUCUCUAAAGGCAAAUCAGAUGUUGAAUGAGUUUUCAUCUCACAUAUGUGGAUUCAUAGACACCAUGGAGUUAUUCAAGAAAAUAAUGCCAGGAUUACCAUCAUAUUCUCAAACUUCAUUGGUGUCACAACUUCUUUGUGAAAACUAUUGUGCACACAAUGCAGUUGAUGACACUAGAGCAUUGUUUAAAUUAUUAACCUCAAAAGCCUUAAACAAUCUGGAUUCAUUUGUAUUUCCUGCAAGUCAUCCUUAUGAUUGUAUAGUCCAGAAAGACAAUCUUAAGUCUUAUAAUGAAGCCAUUGCUUGUAAAGCAAUUACACGAGCGACUGCUUUGAAGGCUUCUAAAUCAAACUUAAAGCUCUCUCAUCUUAAACUUUCUGUUGAGAGAAUGGGACUAGAAGGAUUAAAAGCUUUAUUGUCUGAAAAAACUGACAGAGGAAAUGUUCGAGUCACAAAUUGCAUGAAGGUCAUUCGAAAAAUAUUUGACUUCCUUACUCCUGAAAGCUAGUUGAUAAUUCUUUGUUUUUAUACUGGAAUUAUAUAUUAUAUCUGUUCAGCUAACCUUGUGGGCAAUUGCCAUCACUAGUCAUCAAUUGUCUGUAAACAUUAUUUUUUAUCUCAUGCUUGAGGAAUAGUGAACAGAAUUUUAUCAAACUUUGCAGAUAAAUUAUUUCUAUCAAUUAAUGUCCUUUUAAAUUGUUGAAGAUUAGGAGACAAUUGGUAAAGAUAGAUAGCCAUCCUGUCUGAAUGUAAAUUGUCAUUGGUUAAUCUUGAUUGAAACCUUCUUCUCAAGAAAUCCUGUAGGGAUUGAAACAAAACAUAGUACAUUUAUUUAUUUUCCGAUCAAGGUAUUGAACAAGUGGUGUUAUCUUAUUGCCAAUCAAAAUAAGAGCCAGCAAAGAUCAAAUGUCAAUUUACAUGUUGCUUUAUAUUUUAACUACAAAUGAUAUUAAGUGACAAACUUUGUAAGAUGAUCAGUUCGAGAUACUAGCUUUGGUUCUAGGAAGGAGCUUAAAGGGUCAGUUCAGUACACAUUUCAAUGAUAACAGCAUUAUAGAUUGAAUUGAAAAUAAAAAGUAGAUACAUAUUUAUUUCAAGGUCCUAAACAAGUGUUUUGACUGUUGUAGAAAUUCAAAAUGGCCAUCAGUGAAGUUAAAAGCUUAUUGAUAGAAACCCAAUGGGAGAUAUUUAAAGUUGUAUUUCUUGUAGUAUUUUUGUCAAUGAGAAAAAUAAUCUUUACCAGAUGCAUUGCAAAAUGAUAUCACUCAUUACUGGUACAGUCUAAUUGUAUCCAAUUAUGUUUCUUUGGCAAAUGAAGUAUCUUACCUUUUGCCUAGUUGUAUUUUAAGGAAUAAAUUAUGUCUUUAAUUUAUCUUUCAAGAUAAGAAUUAGUAUUCUGAAGGAAAUGUAAAAAAAAAAGGUGGUAUUUGCAUAAAAUGCCUGGCAGAACAGGAUAAUUACACUCCCUAUUGCACUGUGAAAUGUCUUGUUAUAUGAAUGAAAUAAGUGCCACAAAUCAAACCAUGCUUUUAAACAAUUUCAUUGGUUAAUUGAUUUUGGAUUUAAUGUUAUAUGGAUCAGUUAAUGUAUGGGACCAUAAAUAUGUCCAUAAAUAAAUACUUAUAUCACCUAUA